CUGCAUGCAAAUUGUGAAAAAUUAAUGGAUUGUGCUGAUUAUAAUUUUGUUAUGUAACACAAGAUUUGGUCGUGUAAGGUUAUGUAAGAUUCAAGGUUGUGUAUUACACGACCUUCAUGUAUUGCACGAUUACACGACCUUCAUAUAUUGCACGAUUACACGACCUUCAUGUAUUGCACGAUUACACGACCUUCAUGUAUUACACGUUUACACGACCUUCAUGUAUUGCAUGUUUAUACGACCUUCAUGUAUUAUACAAUUACACGAUCUUCUUGUAUUACACAAUUACACGACCUUCAAUUCCACAUUUUGUUUCUUGUCAAUAGAAUCUACACAUUACAUUUAGUUUAAUUAGGCUCACAAUAAAUUGGAAUGGUGCAUAUACCUUUACCUUGUGAAAUGUCAUUAGUUAGAGAGAUUCUUAAUUUCCAAUUAUAAGCCAUGGUAAGUCAUGAUAUGUCUAGUUAUGAGUGGAAAUAUUUUAUCACUG
rnacentral:lncRNA from 1 species